rnacentral:rRNA from 1 species
CUUGGUCAUUUAGAGGAAGUAAAAGUCGUAACAAGGUUUCCGUAGGUGAACCUGCGGAAGGAUCAUUACCUAGAGUUUGCAGACUUCGGUCUGCUACCUCUUACCCAUGUCUUUUGAGUACCUUCGUUUCCUCGGCGGGUCCGCCCGCCGAUUGGACAACAUUCAAACCCUUUGCAGUUGCAAUCAGCGUCUGAAAAAACAUAAUAGUUACAACUUUCAACAACGGAUCUCUUGGUUCUGGCAUCGAUGAAGAACGCAGCGAAAUGCGAUAAGUAGUGUGAAUUGCAGAAUUCAGUGAAUCAUCGAAUCUUUGAACGCAUAUUGCGCCCCUUGGUAUUCCAUGGGGCAUGCCUGUUCGAGCGUCAUUUGUACCUUCAAGCUCUGCUUGGUGUUGGGUGUUUUGUCUCGCCUCCGCGUGUAGACUCGCCUUAAAACAAUUGGCAGCCGGCGUAUUGAUUUCGGAGCGCAGUACAUCUCGCGCUUUGCACUCAUAACGACGACGUCCAAAAGUACAUUUUUACACUCUUGACCUCGGAUCAGGUAGGGAUACCCGCUGAGCUUAAGCAUAUCAAUAAGCGGAGGA